AUUUGAACAAAUCAAUGCAGCCCAUAAAUCUUAUCCCGGCUAAACUUUCAUCUAUAAAAUAGCAUGGCAUCUUCCAUUGGAUCUUACCUUCAACUUUUCUCAGUCUUUACCUUCGAUUUCUCAUUAAUCCCAUGGCAAUGAGUUUUGUUCCACGCACUUUUUCAUACUCACAUGAGGAAUACUUACACUUAAGUCUACCUUGAUAUCUCCCAAAAUCCAAUUAUAGGUAUAGACUAAUCAAGGGACCAAUUUUGGUCUCGAGUGGAGAGUAAAUACAACAAUACAUUUCCUUCAUUUAUCACUCUUACUCGACCUAAAAGAUCCCUAACGAAGCAAAUGCAAGUUAUUGAUGCUGCAAUCAGCAAAUUACAAGGACGUGUUCAACAAGUGGAACUUCUAAAUCCUAGUGGUGCUUCAGGUGAAGAUAUUGUGAGUAUAUAAUUGUAAAUUGUGCUUUCAAAAAUCAAGUUUAACUAAACACUACAUUGUCUUUUUUCGUAGAUGUAUUGAGCCAAAAUGUUGUAAUGUGAAGACCCAAUCUUCAAGAAAGGAUUCAAAUUUGACCACGUGUGGCCUAUGCUUAAAGAUGUCAGAAAAUAUAGUGAUGACAAUGACAAAGCUACAUCAAUGUAUCACAAGCAAAGUGGUGUCAAGAUUCCAUCAACACAUCCAAAUUCAUCGACGUUUGAAGACCACAUGUCAACACAAUCAACAUCUCCUAAAUUAUCUUCGUUUUCUCUACAUAUAAAUGAAGAUAAUGUUGAUGAGACGUCUUCUCAAUACCUAUAGGAGUGAAAAAAGCAAACUGAAAGGGAAAAAUGACAAAGAAAAUACAAAAUUAAUUGAAUCCACUAAGCAAGAAAAUCGGCUACUCGUCGAAGUUUUAAAAAAAAAAAAGCAGUGAGGAAAGACAACAGAUGUAGGAAAUCCAAAAAAGAAAACUAGCAAUGACAGAAUAUCAAGAGGAGAACAAAAUAUUAAUGAAAGAUUUGAAUGUGAUAAUAUAUCCGAAUCUACGUGAGUUAUUCCAAAAUGAACAAGCAAGAAUCUUGCAAAAGAGAAUUCAAGAAGGUAAAGGAUGUGAAAGUUCAUCUGGUUUGUUUGGUAAUUAUUUUGAUGACAUUGGAGGAUUAGGAAGUGAUCUACCAGAUUACUAAGCUAUUCACUUGAUUUAUCGUUCAGUGAUGUUUGUAUGUGGCUACUCUUGUAAUUUCAUUUUAGUUUUAAAUAAUCAUGUAUGUUGCAUAUUAAAUUUUUUUGAGUAC
rnacentral:lncRNA from 1 species